UACAUAUUUUCAAUAUAAGCCCCUCAUCAGAUACAUGACUUAAAAAUAUUCUCCCCCCAUUCAGCUGGUUGCCUUUGCAUUUUGUUGGUGGCUUCUUCUGCUAUGUGUGAGCUUUUUAGUUUGAUUGUAGCCCCACUUGGUUGAUUCUCAUUUUGUUGCCUUUGAUUUUGGCGUCCAGUCCAAAAAAUCAUCGCUAAGACUAAAGUCAAGGAGCUUACCCUUUAUGGUUUCAGAACUUAUAUUCGUUUUAAAUUCAUUUUGAGUUAAUUUGUGUGUGUGGUACACGAUGGUAUUUUUGUGUGUAGUGUAAGCCGUUUUAUAGUAAACCUAGUAAACCGUGGGGCACAGACAUAAGAAGAGACAAACGGAAAAAAGGAACAACCACCACAACCCCAGUGUAGAUAGAUCCGAGGAUAUUCGGUAGCAUCAUAGAUUGACGCGGGAUGACAGGUUCUUUUCUACGGUGUGUUUGCGUCUUGGCAGCCCCGCUCACUGCCUCACCACUGCGUCUCCAGGAGUGUUGGAUCUGCACUUCACACCACGUCCAGAACUGAACUCCAGGUGGAUAAAAGGGGAAGUGUGGAACUAUGAUAGACUGUCUUGUGGCUGGGAAUAACAAACCACACCGGACAAUAUUCCUGAGGAGUCCACGGGCUUCAUCAGACUCUCAAGGGGUCUCUGGUGGGAAAAUAAGGUUCAGAAAUGCUGAAGAAGAAAGACUGGUCUAUGGUCAGAGGCUGGAGAAGAGGUCGAGUGAGGCGAGGACGGCAAAGGCCCGUCAGAUGUGGCCGCCGUUGCAGUAGCACCUUAGAGCCUCUAUGUUGGGGCGAAGCCAGAGGCAGAAGCUCGAGGCAGAACUGAGAAGUGACUCCUACCGAAGACAUGAAAACAGCUCAGUGGACGGACUCUUUUUGGCAGCCAAGGGAAAGACGUGACAGGGUUUCCUGUCUGAUGCCCUCUUUAUGGAAAUAAGGAGCAAGAAACACGGACUGUGGACGAGGAGACGUGGCUGAGGCCUGACACGCAGGACCUUUUCUUAAAGGGUACAGCGUCAGCGUUAACGUUUAGCAAAAGAUUCUAUGUUUUGUGCCUUAUUUUACAGUUAAAAGCAUUUUCCUUAUUUGGAAAUGUGCUUGUCUUUGGACUAAAAGUAAUAA